rnacentral:lncRNA from 1 species
GAGAUUGAGAGAGGUUUUGACACUUGUGCCAUUGGAGUUCCGGUGAGCAGAGAGUGACUGAGGAUGCUAUAGUCCAGGAGAUUUCACUAUCAAGGACUAAUAUUGGUGAAUUGGCAAAACAAUUGGUAAUAAUAAAUUAUAAAAAGGUUAAUGCGGUAGGGGCACAUGGUGAAACCUCUAAAGUUCAUGAGUAUGAGAUAGCGGAGAAGAAAACAUAUUUGGAUUG